rnacentral:pre_miRNA from 9 species
UCUCGAUAGCGUAAAAGUUAACUCAAAUUUGUAUGGAGUUGGAACGUUUACCUAUGUUUGCCGCCAGGAGUGCUCUUCCAAUAGCAUACAAAUUUGAGUUAACUUUUACUCUAUCGA